GCGUUAAUGGCCCAAUGGAUAAGGCGCCUCCCUUCGGAGGAGGAGAUUCCAGGUUCGAGUCCUGGUUAACGCG
rfam:Tritrichomonas foetus strain K scaffold_579, whole genome shotgun sequence.